UACGAAGGGGGCUAGCGUUGCUCGGAAUCACUGGGCGUAAGGCGCACGUAGGCGGGUCUUUAAGUCAGGGGUGAAAUCCUGGAGCUCAACUCCAGAACUGCCUUUGAUACUGAGGAUCUCGAGUCCGGGAGAGGUGAGUGGAACUCCGAGUGUAGAGGUGAAAUUCGUAGAUAUUCGGAAGAACACCAGUGGCGAAGGCGGCUCACUGGCCCGGUACUGACGCUGAGGUGCGAAAGCGUGGGGAGCAAACAGG
rnacentral:rRNA from 1 species